rnacentral:rRNA from 1 species
CGGAAGGAGUGCUUUUAUUAGAUCAAAACCAAUCGGUGGCGGGUUCGCUCGUCAUCGUACAACUUGGUGACUCUGAAUAACUUUACGCUGAUCGCACGGUCUCGCACCGGCGACGCAUCUUUCAAAUGUCUGCCUUAUCAACUGUCGAUGGUAGGUUCUGCGCCUACCAUGGUUGUAACGGGUAACGGGGAAUCAGGGUUCGAUUCCGGAGAGGGAGCCUGAGAAACGGCUACCACAUCCAAGGAAGGCAGCAGGCGCGCAAAUUACCCACUCCCGGCACGGGGAGGUAGUGACGAAAAAUAACGAUACGGGACUCAUCCGAGGCCCCGUAAUCGGAAUGAGUACACUCUAAACCCUUUAACGAGGAUCAAUUGGAGGGCAAGUCUGGUGCCAGCAGCCGCGGUAAUUCCAGCUCCAAUAGCGUAUAUUAAAGU